ACAGGUGCUGCAUGGCUGUCGUCAGCUCGUGUCGGUGAGAUGUUGGGUUAAGUCCCGCAACGAGCGCAACCCUUGCCUUUAGUUGCCAGCAGUUCGGCUGGGCACUCUAAAGGGACUGCCGGUGUUAAACCGGAGGAAGGUGGGGAUGACGUCAAGUCCUCAUGGCCUUUAUGACCAGGGCUACACACGUACUACAAUGGCCGAUACAAAGGGCAGCGACACUGCGAGGUGAAGCCAAUCCCGUAAAAUCGGUCUCAGUCCGGAUUGGAGUCUGCAACUCGACUCCAUGAAGUUGGAAUCGCUAGUAAUCGUGGAUCAGCAUGCCACGGUGAAUACGUUCCCGGGCCUU
rnacentral:rRNA from 1 species